UCAGCUUUCUUUGCCAUGAGGCUUUGAACAGUACGAAAUCAGUUCAUCUGCACUGGGUAACUUCGGUGUGCCCGCUACGUGCGGAUAACAGUUUUUUUUCCACUUUUUUGAACCAGUCCUCCUCUCACUGGGCUUGCUCAUAGUUGAGGACACAGUGACGCUGGCCUUACACUGCUGCCUUCUGUCGCGACCACAU
rnacentral:snRNA from 1 species